rnacentral:rRNA from 1 species
UACAGAGGUCUCAAGCGAUUGUUCGGAUUCAUUGGGCGUAAAGGGUGCGUAGGCGGCGCGGUAAGUCGGGUGUGAAAUCUUGGAGCUUAACUCCGAAACUGCAUUCGAUACUGCCGUGCUUGAGGACUGGAGAGGAGACUGGAAUUUACGGUGUAGCGGUGAAAUGCGUAGAUAUCGUAAGGAAGACCAGUGGCGAAGGCGGGUCUCUGGACAGUUCCGUGACGCUGA